GAAUUGACGGGGGCCCGCACAAGCGGUGGAGCAUGUGGUUUAAUUCGAAGCUACGCGAAGAACCUUACCAGGUCUUGACAUACUAUGCAAAUCUAAGAGAUUAGACGUUCCCUUCGGGGACAUGGAUACAGGUGGUGCAUGGUUGUCGUCAGCUCGUGUCGUGAGAUGUUGGGUUAAGUCCCGCAACGAGCGCAACCCUUAUUAUCAGUUGCCAGCAUUAAGUUGGGCACUCUGGUGAGACUGCCGGUGACAAACCGGAGGAAGGUGGGGAUGACGUCAAAUCAUCAUGCCCCUUAUGACCUGGGCUACACACGUGCUACAAUGGAUGGUACAACGAGUUGCGAACUCGCGAGAGUAAGCUAAUCUCUUAAAGCCAUUCUCAGUUCGGAUUGUAGGCUGCAACUCGCCUACAU
rnacentral:rRNA from 1 species